GGGGAUAUAGCCCAGUGAUAGAGCAUGUACUUAGCAUGCAUGAAGUCUUGGGUUCAAUUCCCAGUACCUCCU
rnacentral:tRNA from 1 species